rnacentral:rRNA from 1 species
GCGGUAAUACGGAGGGGGCAAGCGUUGUUCGGAAUUAUUGGGCGUAAAGGGCAUGUAGGCGGUUCGGUAAGUUAAAGGUGAAAUGCCAGGGCUUAACCCUGGAGCUGCUUUUAAUACUGCCAGACUAGAGUCCGGGAGAGGAUAGCGGAAUUCCUAGUGUAGAGGUGAA